GUCGAGCGGGGAGGGUAGCUUGCUACCUGACCUAGCGGCGGACGGGUGAGUAAUGCUUAGGAAUCUGCCUAUUAGUGGGGGACAACAUUCCGAAAGGAAUGCUAAUACCGCAUACGCCCUACGGGGGAAAGCAGGGGAUCUUCGGACCUUGCGCUAAUAGAUGAGCCUAAGUCAGAUUAGCUAGUUGGUGGGGUAAAGGCCUACCAAGGCGACGAUCUGUAGCGGGUCUGAGAGGAUGAUCCGCCACACUGGGAC
rnacentral:rRNA from 1 species